rnacentral:rRNA from 1 species
UGGGGAAUAUUGCACAAUGGGCGCAAGCCUGAUGCAGCCAUGCCGCGUGUAUGAAGAAGGCCUUCGGGUUGUAAAGUACUUUCAGCGGGGAGGAAGGGAGUAAAGUUAAUACCUUUGCUCAUUGACGUUACUCGCAGAAGAAGCACCGGCUAACUCCGUGCCAGCAGCCGCGGUAAUACGGAGGGUGCAAGCGUUAAUCGGAAUUACUGGGCGUAAAGCGCACGCAGGCGGUUUGUUAAGUCAGAUGUGAAAUCCCCAGGCUCAACCUGGGACCUGCAUCUGAUACUGGCAAGCUGGAGUCUCGUAGAGGGGGGUAGAAUUCCGGGUGUAGCGGUGAAAUGCGUAGAGAUCUGGAGGAAUACCGGUGGCGAAGGCGGCCCCCUGGACAAAGUCUGACGCUCAGGUGCGAAAGCGUGGGGAGCAAACAGG